rnacentral:rRNA from 1 species
UACGGAGGAGGCAAGCGUUAUCCGGAAUUAUUGGGCGUAAAGCGUCCGUAGGUGGUUUAGUAAGUCUGCUGUUAAAGCGCGGGGCUUAACUCCGUAUCGGCAGUGGAAACUACUAGACUAGAGUGUGGUAGGGGUAGAGGGAAUUCCCAGUGUAGCGGUGAAAUGCGUAGAUAUUGGGAGGAACACCGGUGGCGAAGGCGUUCUACUGGGCCAUAACUGACACUGAUGGACGAAAGCUAGGGGAGCGAAAGGG